AUGACUGGAAUUAACCGAUGCAACUCUAAGAAGGAUUGGCCUGUGCUGCCGGCUAGCAUCAAGUUCGAUCCAACGGAUCAGGAGCUGAUCGAGCACCUUGAGGCCAAAAUGAGUGCUGACAGCGCGAGAUCUCACCCUCUCAUCGAUUUGUUCAUACCAACCAUCGACAGCAAGCAGGGCAUAUGCUACACCCAUCCCGAGAAACUUCCAGGUCGAGCAAGUUUCAACUGGGCUGUAGACUGCUCAGGCUAG
rnacentral:rRNA from 1 species